rnacentral:misc_RNA from 1 species
UGGGCUUGACAUGCACGGGAAAGCCGGUGGAAACAUCGGCCCCUCUUCGGAGUCCGUGCACAGGUGCUGCAUGGCUGUCGUCAGCUCGUGUCGUGAGAUGUUGGGUUAAGUCCCGCAACGAGCGCAACCCUCGUCCCUAGUUGCCAUCAUUCAGUUGGGCACUCUAAGGGGACUGCCGGUGAUAAGCCGAGAGGAAGGUGGGGAUGACGUUUACCGACAGCU